GAGGGUUUAACUGUCUCCUGUAGCCAAUCAAUGAAAUUGAUCCCACAGUACAAAUGCUGUGAUAUAACUAUAAGACGAGAAGACCCUGUGGAGCUUUAACCCUAUCACAUUAACUAAUUAACCUCAACUACUAUUAGUAUAACGUGAAGUUUAAGUUGGGGCGACUAUGGAGUAAAAAUUAACCUCCAUAUAAUACGAUUAAACCUCGUUAUAUACGGCUAACAAGCCUAGUCAAAACACACGACCCAGUCAAACUGAUUAUCGAACCAAGUUACCCCAGGGAUAACAGCGCCAUCCCCUUAAAGAGUUCACAUCG
rnacentral:rRNA from 1 species